CGGGGUGUGGCCCAGUUGGCUAGGGCGCUGCGUUCGGGACGCAGAGGUCGGCGGUUCAAGUCCGCCCACCCCGACCA
rnacentral:tRNA from 2 species